rnacentral:lncRNA from 1 species
UCAUCUCUCUAUUUGGAUCAGGUCACAUCUAUCUCAUGUGAGUAUAUCUCUAUGCAUACUAAUUUGAGCAUACAUGUUUCGUCGAGACGUACAUUUUCAUGAGUAAUUUUACUAGUGAACGGCAUUAUACGUGUCGAAUCUAAGAACCGCACAGCUAUUCUUUAUAAUAAGAUGUCUACGGAUGAUCAAUUUCAGAAGAGAGGUAUUCCUAUAAUGUAUGUUUGUCAAAUCUGUAAAUUUAGUCAUAUAGAGGACUCUGCUCACCUUUUUGUUAAUUGCUCUUUCGGUCAAAACAUCUAGCAGUGGUUGGCUUGUUGUUUUGGCACAUCAUUACCAUCAUCAGGUUCUCUAUUAGAUCUCUGGAAUGUUUUUCAAAGUAAGGUCUUCUCCCCUCAGCUUUCAAAUUCAUGGCUUGCAUGUGGUUUAUUUGUUCUUAUGGCUAUUUGGAAAGCCCGUAACAAGCUCAGGUUUGAAGAUAAAAAACCAUUUCUCCUGCAAGUUUUCAGGUCCACUAAAGCUUGGUUAUUACUUUUUGCUCCUCAUGUUACAGGUUUUGCUAGUGGUGUUUUGGAUACUCAAAUACUUAUUGGUCUAAGUAUCUCUCCAAAAAAGAAAGUUUUGAAGGAGCCCCGACUCAUUUUAUAGCAUCCUCUUCCCAUUUUCUGGAUCAAACUCAAUACUGAUGGUUUAGCUAAAGGCAAUCCAGGUCCCACUGCUUAUGGCGGAGUUUUUCGGGACUCUUUGGGUCGUUAUAUUGGUGAUUUUUGCAAAGGUUUGGGGCAUCGUUCUGCCUUUUAUUCUGAACUAAUGGCUGUUAUUAUUGGAAUUGAAUUUUCUUUUCAGCUAGGAUGGCAUAAUUUGUGGUUAGAGAGCGAUUGUGCAAGCGUGCUUACAUGUCUGUUGUCAUCCAAUUUUCUUCCUCCAUGGCCUCUUCUUAUAGCAUGGAGUAAUUGCAUGCACCAUAUCAGAUCAAUGACUUUUCGUUGUUCUCAUGUUUUUCGGGAAGGAAAUACUGUUGCUAAUGGUUUUGCAAAUUUGGGUUUGGGUUCUUGUAAUACCCCGAAAAUUUGAUAUUAAUUUCUAAUAUUAUUUGGGAAUUUUCCAGUUAGAAAUUAGUGUGUUUUUUUUAGGUUCGAAGGAAGGCUGGAAGUGUUUGAGCGUUUAAUUUCUUGAAAAUGCUUUUUUCUGAAAGGUCAAGAAUUGAUUUUCUAAUUUGUUGGGUUUCUCGAGAAACUUCCUUCACGGAAGUUGUAGAGCACGACGAUACGAGUUCGUAGACACGUGGCACGCGUAAAACGGACUUCGUAUGAGAAAGUUUUGGUCAGCAGAAGUUCGUGGCUUUACGGGAAUUUUGGGUUAAAUAGGAAAGUUUCCUUUUGGGUCCUCAUAUUUUUCAGAAACCCAAUUUCUUCCCCUCUCCUUCUCUCUCUCUGACGCCGAGAGAAUCUAAGCUCUCCAACCGACCCGACCCGACCCGACCCGGUCAACCCAACCUGAUUUUUUCGGCCAACUCCGACCGACUCAGGCAACGACACCGGUCGAAAUCGAUUCAUCUUAGCGGCGCAACCUUCCCUGUGGUGGUGGCGGCUUGCACAGAUGGUUAGUGGUGCGUGCGAAUCGAAGCUUGGAAGUUCGAUUGAGAGACCCGGUCGGGAUUCUCACCUCCAGCGGCGGCGACGCGGCUUGGAACCGAUCGGGAUAGGAUCUCCUUGGCGCCCUGGUUCGACGACUUGUGGUCUUGAAGCUUGACUCUCAGUGUAGUGUGGUGGUGGUAGAUUCCAACUUUUCGGCGAGUUUUCCAGCCGAUUGGGGCAGAACCUCAGGUAUAAAAGAUGCUUCUCUCUCUUCCAUCUACAAGUUUUGUGUUGUGAGUUUGCCCUAAUUCGAAGGUUGGUAGGGUGGUGGCGCAUGGGGCCACUCGCAGCUGCCUGUGGUGGCGCGUGGCGGCUCAUCCGGUAGUGUUUGUGGUGUUUUGUUGUGCUGGUUAGGUAGUACUCUUUGAUAUGUUUGUGUUGAUAUGUGGGUUGUAGAUUUUGGCUACUAUUAUUGCAUGUUAGGAUUUUUUGGUUAAUCUUAGACUUAUGCAUGGUUUUGAGUUCUGUUUUGGGAAUUAGAAGCAGCAUGUUUGAGUGGUUAAUUCGAUGACCUUGGAAGGUUGUCCUCCUUUGGGCUAAGGUCUAGUUUAAGGGUGUUUGUUAUCCUAUAGUACUUUAAUUACUAAGGUUAUUAAUUGUGUAAUUAAUUAUAGGUGACUUGUGAAGUGUGAUUUUGCUUGGCUCUUGUGUUGUGUUGAAGACGUAGCGGGAAUAUUUAGGUGAGUAAAAUCUCACAAAGGUCCACUUUAUGAUCUAUUUAUCUAUGAUGAUUAUGAUGAUGAUAAUGUUGAUGAAAAUGUUGAUGAUUAUGAUGAUGAUAAUGAUUUAGAAAUUAUGUUUUCGUUUUUGUUUGUUUUAAAAUAUAUGAGCUUGAUCACCAACGGCUCAUAGGUAAGAGAAAACAAGUUUUCAUUUUUAAAUGAUUAUUUUUAAGGUUCUAGUGACCAUAAUCUCUUUAGUUCUUGGUAGAUUAUUCUUGUGAGAAAAUCUAUGUGUGUGUAUAUAUAUCUCUUUGUGAAAAGGUAUAUUAUAGUGAGGUGUCGUUUGUCUGGUUCUAUUGAUGUGGUUAUUUGUGUAUUAGUUGUGGAUGUGUGCCUUAGUGGUGAUUGUGUGCAUUCGUUGUGGAAUGAUGCCUUAGUGGUGAUUGUGUGCAUUAGUUAUGGAUGUGUGCCUUAGUGGUGAUUGUGUGCAUUCGUUGUGGAAUGAUGUUUUAUGGGUGAUUGUGUGCAUUAGAUUAGGAACCUUCGUGGUGGACCGGGAACCAAGCAUUGGCCGGGUGAUUGGUUACGGUCAGUAUAGAACUCUAGUUUGUCUGUCAGUACUUCAUGGGGGAUGACUAAGUGUUGACGAACCCAUGAGUACGCGUUUGUUUGGUUACUUAUGGGGGAUGACUAAGUAUUGACGAACUCAUAAGUAAGAGUAAUGAAAUGAUUGUGUGAUGUUCUUAUGUGUUGUCAUUUAAAUUCUUUGUUUUGAGUAUCUCUUGAACUAUGUUUAAUGCAGGAGAUCUUUUAAUCUUAAUUGUAUGAUUUUUAGUGGAAUUCCUGAACUAUAUUUUUUGCAGGAUUUUAUUAUGAUUUGUUUGAUUGUGAAUUGUUGUGUUUUCUUAUUUCUCUAUUUUGAAUUCUCUUACUUUUAAGUGAUUCUUGAACUAAGUUUGCUAAUGCAUGAAUUAUCAGUUUUAUUCAUAUGUGAUGUCGGGUUGAGUCUUUUAUUGUAAAUUUACUCAUACGAGCUAUUAAAACUUACCGGGUUUGUUGUUUACAACCCGGUGCACCAAUCCAUGGUGUAAAAGAUUAAUUUGCUGGUGAUGAUUUUCAAAAUUGAGACGUAGGGAUCUAGAAGCUGCUUGUUAGUAGUUGGAUAUCUUUAUUUUGAUUGUAAAAUUGUAGUGAGCUCUUUGGAGUGUGACAUUUACUUAACUUCUCAAGUUAUGUAAACGUCAGAGUAUUAUUUGAUCUUUUUAUUUUUGUUAUCAUGCCUUGAAUUUGGAAUUUUUAUUUAUCCAAAAUUCGGGAUGUGACAGUUCUUCAUUGCUUUGGCAUGUUUCUCCUCCUCCUAUUGCAUCUCUUUUCCUUUUGAGGGAUGCAUUAGGGUAUCCGAAUUAUCGAGCUAAUUAGAUGGCGGACUUUACAGUGGUCUGGUGUUUGGCGGUCUCUUAUUCUCUUCAGCAGUAGUUUGCAUCCAAGAUUGGUGUUCACAUCUGCUUUGAUGGGCCAAAUUAUAUAGACUACUUGUAUGUUUUAUCUACCAGCUUUCUUUUUGGUUUGUACAAGAGAUGUAAAUACCAUAUUCUAUUUUCUUAGUUUCUGUCUCAUAUUGUUUCUUAUUCAAACUAUGUAAUUUUUCUUGUUUUUAUUUGAAAUAAAAUCCGAAAAUGGAGCUGAGCCUUCCAACUAGGUCGGGUUUCAAACCCUUUAAAAAAAAUUAAAAAAAAACUUUUGGUUUAGUUCACGCGACUAAAUGCUGAACGGUGGCGAGAUUUUUUUUGUUAUCAAACAAAUAAUAGGAAUACGGGUCAAUUGAACCGGUGACGUGAAUCAUCAAGAUUCUAUAUCUUUCCAAACUUAUACAAGGUGACAAAGCUGUCGCAUAGAAGAACCUUUUUAGUGCCAAGGGAGUUGUUCUUGCUCGGAAAGCUUGUUGCCCCCAUUCACCCAAAAACUAUGUUUGGUACCAAUUGCAAUCUACAUGUUUCGCUUUUUCUGCCUAACAAGUUGACACGUCUACUAUGAGUCCAGAAGGUGAUGACUCCAUUAGCGUACUCCACAUGUAAACGUUGGCUAGUGAAUGGAAUACCCACCUCUCAGAUUGGUCCGUCGUUUUAUAUUUACCAGUCAUCUUCAUCUUCCAUUUCAUGACCUUAAUUUGUGGAGGUGAAGGUAACACCAACGUGGGCUUACUCUACUCUGGAAUUCGAGUUCAUUCCAAGAAAAUGCUUCACGAAAAUGGUGCACAAGUCAUGUUUGACAAAUUUUUUUUUUCUUUCUUCUUUCAGUUAUCAGAAUAAGUGAAAAAAAGAAAAGUACAAACUAAUACAUUUAAUUUGAUAAAAUGCGGUUAUUGGGACUUCUAAAUUUGCUUAAUAUACCUCUCAUUCUUUCUACACCUCUUUUUUACUUUUCAAUAUAAACAUUUUCUCACUAUAUCUCAUUUUAAAUUCCUAACAUAAUCUUAGUUGACAUAUAUUUCAAUUAAUUAUUAACUUUACCUCUUUUUAUCAUGAAAUAUUCUAUAUAUCUUUUUAAUUUUUGUUUUUCUCUUUUGUACGUGUUAUUUUUCUCUGUUUUUUAUUUUAAAUAAUUUGAUCUCUAUUUUAUACCUCAUAAUAAAUUAUUUUAAUAAAUUUAAAUUUCCUAUAAUCAAUAUAUAUAUAUAUAUAUUUUUUUUUUGUAAAAAAUAUUUAUGUACCUUGCAAGUAUGUGUGUUCAACAUGUAUAAUAAUACAAAAUUUUAUGUCACAUGAUCGAUAUUUGAUCAUUGUUUUAGCUCUUAUGAACUAUAUAUAUAUAUAUAUGUUUUAUAUAUAUAUAUGAUAUAUAUGUUUUAUUUAUAUAUGCUUUAAUAAAAAGAAAUUGGAAAACAAAAAUAUAUAAGGAAAAUAAUAAAUAAUGUAAUUAAUUAUUAUUGAAUUGGAAAGUCUAGAGAGAAUAAAUAUAAUAUUUCUUUUUAUAUAAUUAUUGUCCUUAAUAGUCAUUGUGUACGAUGAUAUAUAUGUCAUUUAAUAAUUCACAAUAGAGUAAGGUCUAGUGAGCAAAUUUAGAGGUCCCAAUAACCGUACUCAAUUUGAUAAUAAAGUUCAAAUUAACCCACUGUUUUGGCUACGCUUUUAGUAGGAAAAAGAGUACGUUACACCAAAGUCUCUUUUGGUAGUUAAGGGCGUGCCAGCACGUGGAUAAGUGGAUGUGCAAGUAGUAGUAAUCUUCGUAGCGAAGUACGGGUAACCUUCUACUUCUAAUCAAAGCGACUGAUGAGGACCAAGAGAGCACUAAACUAGGACACCAGAUUCUUCAAAGUUACCUUGCGGACAAGAAUUUACGGUAACUUCAAGCGCCACCAAUAUAGAUACUCGCUGCUUGAAGCGAGCAGAGCAACCAAUUGAAAAGGCUUUGGGAAACUGGAUUGUGCUAAGGCGUAUACUUUAGCGUUUGGGUUUCAACUAGGUCGAAGGGUUUGUUAUUGGUGUUUAUAUGAGAGAUUGUGUGUGUAAACUGAUCCUCGAACUUCCUUAUAUAGAGUCGAGUUCGCAUAACUAGUUGGUAAUUAAGGAUUCGGUCUUCGCAACCUAGUUGGUUUUUGCUACUUGAGUUGCACAAGGUUUCGUUUUGCUUGACAACCACGUAACUGGAUGAUGCAGUUCCAAUCACGUAAGUAGACUUAUUUUAGGAUCACAUGUAUUGGCCCUUAGCUAAUCAAAGACUUCUUACCCUCUAACGUGGAGAUGAUAUUCAUGUCCUAUGCAAACACGACUUCGCCAAGAAAUAAAAUCAUGCAGGACUCAAACUUCUUUACUUCAUCACACACACACACACACACACACACACACACACACACACACACACACACAUAUAUAUAUAUAUA